CCUACGGGAGGCAGCAGUGAGGAAUAUUGGUCAAUGGCCGCAGGGCUGAACCAGCCAAGUCGCGUGAGGGAUGACGGUCCUAUGGAUUGUAAACCUCUUUUGUCAGGGAGCAAAGGGCGCCACGUGUGGCGCUUUGCGAGUACCUGAAGAAAAAGCAUCGGCUAACUCCGUGCCAGCAGCCGCGGUAAUACGUAGGGGGCGAGCGUUAUCCGGAUUUACUGGGUGUAAAGGGAGCGUAGACGGUUCUGCAAGUCUGAAGUGAAAGCCCGUGGCUUAACCGCGGAACGGCUUUGGAAACUGUGGAACUGGAGUGCUGGAGAGGCAAGCGGAAUUCCUAGUGUAGCGGUGAAAUGCGUAGAUAUGAGGAGGAACACCAGUGGCGAAGGCGGCUUGCUGGACAGUAACUGACGUUGAGGCUCGAAAGCGUGGGGAGCAAACAGGAUUAGAUACCCUUGUAGUC
rnacentral:rRNA from 1 species